GAGUCCUGGCUCAGGAUAAACGCUGGCGGCGUGCUUAACACAUGCAAGUCGAACGGAGUAUCCUCCCGAGACCGACGAAAGCUUGCUUUCUGAAGAAUCAUUUGGAAUACUUAGUGGCGGACGGGUGAGUAACGCGUGGGUAACCUGCCUCACACAGGGGGAUAACAGUUGGAAACGACUGUUAAUACCGCAUAAGCGCACAGUAUCGCAUGGUACAGUGUGAAAAAGCUCCGGCGGUGUGAGAUGGACCCGCGUCUGAUUAGCUAGUUGGCGGGGUAACGGCCCACCAAGGCUUCGAUCAGUAGCCGGCCUGAGAGGGUGUACGGCCACAUUGGGACUGAGAUACGGCCCAGACUCCUACGGGAGGCAGCAGUGGGGAAUAUUGGGCAAUGGGGGGCCAACCCUGACCCAGCAACGCCGCGUGGAGGAAGAAGGCUUUCGGGUUGUAAACUCCUUUGACGAGGGACGAUGAUGACGGUACCUCGAAAACAAGCCACGGCUAACUACGUGCCAGCCGCGGC
rnacentral:rRNA from 1 species